UAGGGAAUCUUCCGCAAUGGACGAAAGUCUGACGGAGCAACGCCGCGUGAGUGAAGAAGGAUUUCGGUUCGUAAAACUCUGUUGUUAGGGAAGAAAAAAUGUAUAGUAACUAUAUACAAAAGAGACGGUACCUAACCAGAAAGCCACGGCUAACUACGUGCCAGCAGCCGCGGUAAUACGUAGGUGGCAAGCGUUGUCCGGAAUUAUUGGGCGUAAAGCGCGCGCAGGUGGUUUAGAAAGUCUGAUGUGAAAGCCCACGGCUCAACCGUGGAGGGUCAUUGGAAACUAAUAAACUUGAGUGCAGGAGAGAAAAGGGGAAUUCCUAGGGUAGCGGUGAAAUGCGUAGAGAUUAGGAGGAACACCGGUGGCGAAAGCGGCUUUUUGGCCUGCAACUGACACUGAGGCGCGAAAGCGUGGGGAGCAAACAGG
rnacentral:rRNA from 1 species